rnacentral:rRNA from 1 species
UGGGGAAUAUUGGACAAUGGGGGAAACCCUGAUCCAGCCAUGCCGCGUGAGUGAAGAAGGCCUUCGGGUUGUAAAGCUCUUUCAGCCGGGAAGAAAACGUGGUCUCUAACAUAGGCCAUGGAUGACGGUACCGGAAGAAGAAGCACCGGCUAACUACGUGCCAGCAGCCGCGGUAAUACGUAGGGUGCGAGCGUUAAUCGGAAUUACUGGGCGUAAAGCGUGCGCAGGCGGUUUUGUAAGACAGAUGUGAAAUCCCCGGGCUUAACCUGGGAACUGCGUUUGUGACUGCAAGGCUAGAGUACGGCAGAGGGGGGUGGAAUUCCUGGUGUAGCAGUGAAAUGCGUAGAUAUCAGGAGGAACACCGAUGGCGAAGGCAGCCCCCUGGGCUAACACUGACGCUCAUGCACGAAAGCGUGGGGAGCAA